rnacentral:rRNA from 1 species
UACGGAGGGGGCUAGCGUUGUUCGGAAUUACUGGGCGUAAAGCGCACGUAGGCGGCUUUGUAAGUUAGAGGUGAAAGCCCGGAGCUCAACUCCGGAACUGCCUUUAAGACUGCAUCGCUUGAACGUCGGAGAGGUAAGUGGAAUUCCGAGUGUAGAGGUGAAAUUCGUAGAUAUUCGGAAGAACACCAGUGGCGAAGGCGACUUACUGGACGACUGUUGACGCUGAGGUGCGAAAGCGUGGGAGCAAACAGG